ensembl:lncRNA
AGCCUUUACCUCAGUGGAGUAUGGUUGUGUGUCUAGAUAGACAUCCAUGUUUCUUACUUUCCUUUGGUGCUACAAAGAAUAAAGGAACAGGAAAAAAAAAAAAAAAAGAUUAAAAAAAGAAAUGAAGUAACAACUCACUUGAAGCUUUUGAAACUUCCUCAGAUGAACAAAUUUAUGCAGGCCUUUUUCUUCCUCACAGUUGUUUUCAGCUGAUGAAUUUCCAGCAUACAACAGGCGUUCUUAUUAAUUCCUAAAUGCAUGACCUUGCAUACUGAACUACUUCAAUUUCAUCCUAUUGCUCUUGCUCCAGUUCUCAAGGUGACACAUUCCUCCUGCACACUGACAAUUGCUCACAACUUUUGUGAUCACUGCAUUUCAUUAUUGGACUCCUGCCUCUGUGUCAAGGACUCUAAUGAAAAUAUUAAAUAAAAUUGUCCCAAAUUGAAUCCUUUGGGGGCUCUAUUGAUGGUCUCAGAAUAUCAUUAAGUCUUACACUUUACUACUAAUUGCACUAUAUUAUUUACAUUGUAGUAGCAAUACAAGACUCAACCAC